rnacentral:rRNA from 1 species
UACAGAGGUCCCAAGCGUUGUUCGGAUUCACUGGGCGUAAAGGGUGCGUAGGUGGCCAGGUAAGUUCGGUGUGAAAGCUCGGAGCUUAACUCCGAAAUGUCAUUGAAUACUAUCUGGCUGGAGGGUCGGAGGGGAGACUGGAAUUCUCGGUGUAGCAGUGAAAUGCGUAGAUAUCGAGAGGGACACCAGUGGCGAAGGCGAGUCUCUGGACGACUCCUGACACUGAGGCACGAAAGCCAGGGGAGCAAACAGG